UGGUGGAGUGAUUUGUCUGGUUAAUUCCGUUAACGAACGAGACCUCGACCUGCUAAAUAGUUUGGCUAACUCUUCUGGGUUGGUACAUGAACUUCUUAGAGGGACUAUCGGUGUGUAGCCGAUGGAAGUUCGAGGCAAUAACA
rnacentral:rRNA from 1 species